rfam:Canis lupus familiaris chromosome 14, whole genome shotgun sequence.
CGGGGGAGGCCGGAUUCUGGGCUGUGUCCGGCGCCCUGUGCUCCGGGGCCUGCGCUGUUGGAUUCGCGCUCCCGGGCCGCGCAACCCCCU